rnacentral:misc_RNA from 1 species
GAUAACUAAAAUCAUUUUUUUGAUGUAUCAUUAUUGGCUAUUAAUUUCUGAAAUUCAAAUUCACAUUUUCAUCUCUCAGUAAAAUAAUCUAAUUAAUUAUUAUCUCAAAAUGAACUUAAAUAUUUUAAGAACUUUAUGUAGUUUUGAAAUAAAUUCUUCUUUUAUAACUAGCAAAAGGAUAAUAUAAUGAUUAAUGAUAUAUCACAGUAGGAAUAUGCUUAAUUAACAUAUAUAAUUAUUAACAUGAUAUCAUGCACCAAAGUAUGAUUCUCAAGUGUGUUAACUAAAUAUGUAAACUAAUCAAGGUUUUGUACUUAAUAUAUACAGUGGUGGGUUUAAUUUAAAUAUCGAAAGACUUAAAUUUUCUCUUCUUGUAUUAAUGGAGAAGAUGACAAAAUAAUAAAGACAGGAAGGAAAGCUCAUUCUCACUGCAUAUUAUUUGAGUUUAAAUUUUUCAAUAAAAUGAAUUUUUUUUUUCACUCUUUGAACAAUAAUUCUAUGUAAAGACAAUUGGAUUUGUGAAGUACUUCCAUUUGCUUAUAAUUUCAAAAAAUUCAUAAUCAAAAUUGUUUGCUAAAUUUACAGAUCUAAAACUUAUCAUGGAUCAAAACAUUGGUUAACUGAAUUGACACCAUAAAGGAGAGGAAUAAUUGAACAAUGACAGAUGAAGCAAAUCUUAAAACUCAGGUUGGUUGGAAGAGCAUGUGGCUGGUGAUAACUACUGGAGCAAGAUUAGCUCCUGUAUUGGAGAUCUAAGAUUUGUGCUAAGAUAGCUUAGUCCUAUUCAGUUAUGCA